rnacentral:rRNA from 1 species
UGGGGAAUAUUGCACAAUGGAGGGAACUCUGAUGCAGCGACGCCGCGUGAACGAAGAAGGCUUUCGAGUCGUAAAGUUCUUUUUUAUGGGAUGAUAAUGACGGUACCAUAAGAAGAAGCCCCGGCUAACUACGUGCCAGCAGCCGCGGUAAUACGUAGGGGGCUAGCGUUGUCCGGAAUCACUGGGCGUAAAGGGUUCGCAGGCGGAAAUGCAAGUCAGGUGUAAAAGGCAGUAGCUUAACUACUGUAAGCAUUUGAAACUGCAUAUCGUAAGAAGGGUAGAGGUAAGUGGAAUUUUUAGUGUAGCUGUAAAAUGCGUAGAUAUUAAAAAGAAUACCGGUGGCGAAGGCGACUUACUGGGCUCAUUCUGACGCUGAGGAACGAAAGCGUGGGUAGCAAACAGG